CUCAGUUACUAAGAUAUGACUAUCAAAAUAGAGGAGUUUGACUUAUGUGAGUGUAAUUAUUGUCUAAAUGUUUACAUGAAGCAUGAUCACGUUUCAAGGUGAAAGACUUCCAGUUACUGAUUUAGAAAAUAAUACAUCACAGUGAAGUCAUUAUUUAAUGAAGCUAAUGCUUCAGUAAAUUAUGUUGCAGCUUAAGAUAUUUGAUGAGGUGCUGCAACACAUUUCAGGACAUGUUUAUUG
rnacentral:lncRNA from 1 species